rnacentral:rRNA from 1 species
CAUGCCGCGUGCUUACCAUGCAAGUCGAGCGAUGAAGUUCCUUCGGGAGCGGAUUAGCGGCGAACGGGUGAGGAACACGUGAGGAAUCUGCCUUCUACUCUGGGAUAACUCCGGGAAACCGGGGCUAAUACCGGAUACGAAACCUGAUGGCAUCAUCGGGUUUGGAAAGUUUUUCGGUAGAAGAUGACCUCGCGGCCUAUCAGCUUGUUGGUGAGGUAAUGGCUCACCAAGGCGACGACGGGUAGCCGGCCUGAGAGGGCGACCGGCCACACUGGGACUGAGACACGGCCCAGACUCCUACGGGAGGCAGCAGUGGGGAAUAUUGGGCAAUGGAGGAAACUCUGACCCAGCGACGCCGCGUGCGGGAUGAAGGCCUUCGGGUUGUAAACCGCUUUCAGCAGGGAAGAAGCGAAAGUGACGGUACCUGCAGAAGAAGCACCGGCUAACUAUGUGCCAGCAGCCGCGGUAAUACAUAGGGUGCAAGCGUUGUCCGGAAUUAUUGGGCGUAAAGAGCUCGUAGGUGGUUCGUUACGUCGGAUGUGAAAAUCUGGGGCUCAACCCCAGACCUGCAUUCGAUACGGGCGAACUAGAGUGUGGUAGGGGGGACUGGAAUUCCUGGUGUAGCGGUGGAAUGCGCAGAUAUCAGGAGGAACACCAAUGGCGAAGGCAGGUCUCUGGGCCAUUACUGACACUGAGGAGCGAAAGCGUGGGGAGCGAACAGGAUUAGAUACCCUGGUAGUCCACGCCGUAAACGGUGGGCACUAGU